UCGGGAAUGGGGAUGUGCGUUGCGCUUGUCAAGUGCUGUGCGCUCUGGAGGUUGCCGGGCUGGCUCGCUAGUGCACUUUCUCGGGGUGGUCACCACGACCGGCGUUGUUGCCUUACUGCUGUAGUCAAACCGGUCAGGUUUGGUCCUUGUGACUGAAUUUGAUCGGGAUGGCAGGUAGCUCAUUGGUUGGCUUGCUAGCCUUUGGGUGUAAUAGCUGGCUGCAGUGGUUUUGUGCAA
rnacentral:rRNA from 1 species